ACUCCUACGGGAGGCAGCAGUGGGGAAUAUUGCACAAUGGGCGCAAGCCUGAUGCAGCCAUGCCGCGUGUAUGAAGAAGGCCUUCGGGUUGUAAAGUACUUUCAGCGGGGAGGAAGGCGAUGCGGUUAAUAACCGCGUCGAUUGACGUUACCCGCAGAAGAAGCACUGGCUAACUCCGUGCCAGCAGCCGCGGUAAU
rnacentral:rRNA from 1 species